ACCUACUGUUUAAUUUUGAGGGUUCGUUUUUACGAAUGCUCAAAAUUAGCACUUUAAGCAACGGGAUUUAUCCGUUGGCGCUGUGCGUUAGCACUUUAAGCAACGGAAUUUAUUCGUUGGCGCUGUGCGUUAGCACUUUAAGCAACGGAAUUUAUUCGUUGGCGCUGUGCAUUAGCACUUUGAAAACUGCAUAUAUAUAUUUAGUGAUAUGACAUCUAAUUUGUAAUAUAUAAAGCUGAUAACUUUUUAAAAUUAUCGAAGUUGAUAGCUUCUAAUCUAUCAAACCUUUUUAACUGGUCAA
rnacentral:misc_RNA from 1 species